GAGUGGCGGACGGGUGAGUAACGCGUAGGAAUCUGCCUUAUAGUGGGGGACAACGUGGGGAAACCCACGCUAAUACCGCAUACGCCCUACGGGGGAAAGGCUUCGGCCGCUAUUAGAUGAGCCCGCGUAAGAUUAGCUUGUUGGUAGGGUAAAGGCCUACCAAGGCGACGAUCUAUAGCUGGUCUGAGAGGACGAUCAGCCACACUGGGACUGAGACACGGCCCAGACUCC
rnacentral:rRNA from 1 species